CACACAAGAUAUUCCAGAAUCUGGUUUGGAAUAGAUACAAACCUGUCUUUUUCCUUUUCCUCAGAUGCACGGGAGCCUGAAGGAGGAACAGGGAAUCUGAAGACUCCAGAUGACACGGGAGCUGGUUUUCAACAGCCUUCUCGAUUUCCUUGCUCAGAAAGUAGAUACAAACCUUGGAGCCAGAUGAUUUCCCCAUUUGAAAACUGGAGAUCCGUGUUUCCCUGAGACCAUUCAUGAAGUGGAGGCACUGUAGGAAAAGCAAGGAACACUGAUAUUUGCAUUUAAUUGGACACAAGAUGAAGAAGGAGCAUACGUUCGCUAAGGAUUCUGUCUGCUUGCUUCUGUAGAUCUACGUAUUAAGGAGUUCUUCUUGCUUAGGAGUUGAUCUGCUCUGCGGUCGUACCGCUGUGGAGUUUGCCCACCAUUUAUCUUGUCUUUGCCAGAAGAAAUCCUGGUUGGAAUGAAACAGUGCAUCUCUGUCUGAUUACUAUGGAAGGUGAUAAACUGACGCUCACUUAUUAAAGUUACAUCUCACUCCCCCACAGAAAACCAUUCUUCAACGUGACUAGAAACCAAGCCCU
rnacentral:lncRNA from 1 species